rnacentral:rRNA from 1 species
AAAAACAUGUCCUUUUGAAAAUUAAUUUAAGGUCUGACCUGCCCACUGAAAUUAUUAAAUGGCCGCAGUAUUUUAACUGUGCAAAGGUAGCAUAAUCAUUAGUCUUUUAAUUGGAGGCUUGUAUGAAUGGUUGGACGAGGCAUAUACUGUAUCAUAUGUAAUUUAUAGUAGAAUUUUAUUUUUUAGUUAAAAAGCUAAAAUGUUAAUGAAAGACGAGAAGACCCUAUAGAUCUUUAUAAUUUAAUUAUUUAUUGUUAUGAAGAUUAAUUUAAUAAUAAUUAAUUCCAUUAUUUUGUUGGGGUGACAUUAAAAUUUAUAAAACUUUUAAUAUAGAGGAUACAUUUAUUUAUGAUUUAUUGAUCCAUUAUUAGUGAUUAAAAAAUUAAGUUACCUUAGGGAUAACAGCGUAAUCUUUUUGGAGAGUUCUUAUCAAUAAAAAGGUUUGCGACCUCGAUGUUGGACUAAAAUAAAUUUUGGGUGUAGCAGUUCAAAUAUUUAAGUCUGUUCGACUUUUAAUUUUUUACAUGAUCU